GCACGGUGGCAUAUGUGUAAUAAGCACAUGC
rnacentral:piRNA from 1 species